rnacentral:rRNA from 1 species
GGUGACCAGCGGAGGGAUCAUUACCGAGUUUACAACUCCCAAACCCCUGUGAACAUACCUUAUGUUGCCUCGGCGGAUCAGCCCGCGCCCCGUAAAAAGGGACGGCCCGCCGCAGGAACCCUAAACUCUGUUUUUAGUGGAACUUCUGAGUAUAAAAAACAAAUAAAUCAAAACUUUCAACAACGGAUCUCUUGGUUCUGGCAUCGAUGAAGAACGCAGCAAAAUGCGAUAAGUAAUGUGAAUUGCAGAAUUCAGUGAAUCAUCGAAUCUUUGAACGCACAUUGCGCCCGCCAGUAUUCUGGCGGGCAUGCCUGUUCGAGCGUCAUUUCAACCCUCAAGCCCAGCUUGGUGUUGGGAGCUGCAGUCCUGCUGCACUCCCCAAAUACAUUGGCGGUCACGUCGAGCUUCCAUAGCGUAGUAAUUUACAUAUCGUUACUGGUAAUCGUCGCGGCCACGCCGUUAAACCCCAACUUCUGAAUGUUGACCUCGGAUCAGGUAGGAAUACCCGCUGAACUUAAGCAUAUCAAUAAGCGGAGGA